CACGUAGGGGGCGAGCGUUGUCCGGAAUCAUUGGGCGUAAAGCGCACGUAGGCGGAUACUUAAGUUAGGGGUGAAAUCCCAGGGCUCAACCCUGGAACUGCCUUUAAUACUGGGUAUCUUGAGUCCGAGAGAGGUGAGUGGAAUUCCGAGUGUAGAGGUGAAAUUCGUAGAUAUUCGGAGGAACACCAGUGGCGAAGGCGGCUCACUGGCUCGGUACUGACGCUGAGGUGCGAAAGCGUGGGGAGCAAACAGG
rnacentral:rRNA from 1 species